UCUAUGUUAUUCUCCGUUAAAAUAUCAGAAUCAGUGUAUACAAAACCCUCGGAUUUUAACACAAGCGAUUAUUUUCUUCCUUUAGCGAGAGCACGAUAGAAUUUUCCUCAUUGUUAGGUUUAUUUACAUCACCGAGCGUUGACUGCAUAUCCCUGAAUCUUCGUCUAUGUUAUUAGUUACUGCGCCGUGAUCACACAACCCAAUCAAUUAAGCAAUCAAUCGUUGUUAAGUGUGAUCGUGUAUGUGAAAGAAUGAGAGGAAGAACGCGUAGGAGGCCAGGAAAGCCAUGUAACCUCAACUAAAUGGAUUACAAAACAGAAAAGGGAGAGGAUGAAAUAUGGGAAAGGAAAAAAACAUGAGAAAAGAAAAGUGCAAUGGAGAAAGUACUAAAGGAAAAACAAGUUGGAGGCUAAGAGAGAAUCAUUCAACUUUAAUUAAAUGGAUUAUGGAUGAACGAAAGGCAAGAAAUAGAGAAAAAUAGGGAAAAGAAAAGAAAUGGGAAAAGAAAAGUAAAAGAAGAAAUACGUACUAAAGGCAGAAAAAGUAGAUGAAGAGAAAGAAAUAUCACGGAAACUAACAAGAUUAUGGAUGAAUGAGGAGAGAAAAAGAGGAAUUAAAAAAAGAAAUAGUAGUAUGAGAGGUGAGGAAAAAGAGGUAUUAAAAAAAGAAAUGGUAGUAUGAGAGGUGAGGAAAAAGAGGUAUUAAAAAAAGAAAUGGUAGUAUGAGAGGUGAGGAAAAAGAGGUAUUAAAAAAAGAAAUGGUAGUAUGAGAGGUGAGGAAAAAGAGGUAUUAAAAAAAGAAAUGGUAGUAUGAGAGGUGAGGAAAAAGAGGUAUUAAAAAAAGAAAUAGUAGUAUGAGAGGUGAGGAAAAAGAGGAAUAAAGAAAGAAAAAGUAGUGGGGUAAGUACUAACCCAAAAAAAACUAAGAAGCAGAGUCAUGCCACUUACACCAACGGGAUUACAGAUCAACGGACAGGGAAAAAAAAAGAGGAAAACAAGGGAGAAAACAUAAGUAAGGGAGGAAACGGAAGAAUGACAAGUCGCGUUUACUUUGUUUUCAAGAAGACCUGCAAGUUAGAGGUGAAGGCAAGUGACUCAGCAUUUAAAGAGAGAGAGAGAGAGAGAGAGAGAGAGAGAGAGAGAGAGAGAGAGAGAAACCACAAUACAGCUGUUACGAAAGAUAAAUAAUGACAAUGAUAAUAAUAAUAAUGAGUAAUGUAGAAAAUAACUAAAAUUAAUCCACUUUCUCAUUCUCUCACCCCGAGGAAGAUGACAAAAAAAUAUGAAAAAAUAAAAAGAAAGAAAAAAAGUCAUUACUACACAUUCAUUCAUUCAUUCUUUCACUUGUCCGUUACCUGAAGCCUUAAAAGCACAAACACACCCAUACACCUGUCACUAAUGAGCAGCAAGGUGAAGGUGUGUGUGCGCGUGUGUAUAGAAAAACGAUUGUGUCAAGUUCAGUUUUCAUAGUAACUCAUCAUUCUUCUAUCAUACACCCAUUUCAACACCUUCAGCAUUGUCGAGUUGAUAAUGCUUCUUGUUUCAUCAUUUUCUGCUAUCAUGUAAAUCCUUAAUUGAGUUUGUAAUGUCCCGUUUCUUAUCUAUUUAUUAUCGUCAUCCACAGUCAUUACUAGUUCACUACAGGAUAAGCCCUUCCCUUGUUUGACGUCAGUGUACUCCAUCCUGCUCGUCAGUGUACUCCAUCCUGCUCCGGCAAAUGUUGUAGUUUCACCUCUCCACCUGGUCCUCUGUCUGCUCUUCCUUUUCUCCCUAUUGCCAUUCUUCCUUCCUUUCCUUCUUCUUUCCAUCCUUUCUCUUGUUCUUUCACUUUCUGCCAUUCUUUCCUCUCCAUCCUGCUCCGGCAAAUGUUCUAGUUUCACCUUCCCACCUGAUCCUGUCUGCUCUUCCUUUUCUCCCUAUUGCCAUUCUUCCUUUCCUUCUUCUUUCCAUCCUUUCUCUUAUUCUUUCACUUUCUGCCAGUCUUUUCUCUCCAUCCUGCUCCGGCAAAUGUUCUAGUUUCACCUCUCCACCUGGUCCUCUGUCUACUCUUCCUUUUCUCCCUAUUGCCAUUCUUCCUUCCUUUCCCUCUUCUUUCCAUCCUUUCUCUUAUUCUUUCACUUUCUGCCAGUCUUUUCUCUCCAUCCUGCUCCGACAAAUGUUCUAGUUUCACCUUCCCACCUGAUCCUGUCUGCUCUUUCUCCCUAUUUCCUUUCUUCCUUCCUCCUGAUUUCCUUUUUUUUCUUCUUUCCAUCCUCUCUUGUUCUUUUGCUUUCUUCCUGUCUUUCCUUCUCCCUCCUGCUCCACCAAAUCCUCUUAAUUUAAUCUCCCCACCCUGACUUCUACAACUCCUGGCUUACUUUCCUUGUCUGUCUGUCUUAUCAGUUCUAGGCUUAUUUACUUUGUUUGUCAGUCCCUUGUUAUCAGUUGUACCUAAAAUAUGUGCCCAAGUCCAUUUUUUAUUAGAACAUCUUUAACCUUUGUCUGUUUUUAAUCAUCACUGCUUGCUUACUUACUUUCAAUGUUAUACCCAGCACUUACUUUUUUUUAUAUUUUCUUUGUGCAAAUCUUAGUUUUUUCUCUCCUUUUUAUACAAUCUCUCUACGUUACACCAAGCAUUUAUUUUCUUUAUUCCUCUUCAUGCACUUUCUUAGCCUUUUAUUUUUUAAUGUUAUCUAUUUUUUGGCUUAUUUGUCUAUGUGUGUGUGUUAUCUUUGCCCUUUGUCAUCACCAUCAACACCAUGACCAUCUAUCCACAUUAAACCCAGCACUUAUUUUCUCUACUCUUCAUGCACUUUCUUAGCUUUUUCUUUUUGUUAUCUAUUUUUUUUUUAUUUGUGUGUGUGUGUGUGUUAUCUUUGUGCUUACACCUUGUCACCAUCACCACCACUACCAUUUUCAUCAUCACCACCACCACCGUCACUGUGACCAUCAUGUUUUAUUACGAAGGCGAUACGUUGGUUCAUAUUAAUUCACACGCACAUACUCCCUACACCUCCUCCUCUUCCCUCUCUCUUUUUCUGCUGAUCUCUUCUCCCCUUUCCUCUUCUCCAUUACUCCAUAACACAGCCCACUUUUCUUCUCUUCUUCCUUCUCUUCUUUCCUCCAUUUCUUCACAACUACACUUCUCCCUACUUCUAUUCCACUUUUCUCUUACCUCUUCUUCACUACUCCUCUCCCUUCUCCUUUCCUCUAUUCCAUCUUACACUUCUCUCCUUCCCAUACCCCUUUCAUUUCUUCUCCAUCUCUUCACCUCUCCACUCCUCUCUGAUCAUCUCUUCACCACUAUUCUUCUCCCUCUUCAUUUUAUCUUCCACUAUUCCUUUCUUUUUCCAUCUUUCACUUCUCUCCAUUUCUUCACCACUACACUCCUCUUCCACUUCUCUUGUCUCUUCUUCCAUGAUUAGGUACUCUUCUCUAAUCCUAUCCACUCGUCGCCCCCUCUUUUCUCCACCUCGAACUACACUCCAUUAUACUCCACUUCAGCACAAUGACACAUAUUUUGGUUUCAUCUUCACAAUCUCUCUCUCUCUCUCUCUCUCUCUCUCUCUCUCUCUCUCUCAAGUCCUACAUUCCGCUGCUCAUCUUCACCUUGCCUGCACGUACAACACAAACAUUUUUUCUUCUUAGUUGUUUUCUUUUCUUGUUAAUUUAUAUUUCCCACUAAAAUCAGUACUACAUAUGACUGACUUUUCUGUGUGUGUGUGUGUGUGUGUGUGU